GUAACAUUCAAUAAAGAAGCACAUGUUGCAAGGAGUAAGUAUGUUCCCAAUUCCAUGUUAUUCAGCAUUCUCGCAAAAUGAGCACUCCUGUCCUUGAUCUACUUUAUGGUUUCCACAAUCCUAUAGACCACUAGGAAAUAUUUGUACAAGCCUAUGUACAUCCUCUAACCAGCCCCAUGAGCCGUGGUAGGCAAGUUGUGUUUUGUGAAAGACGAACUGGCAUGUUAUGCGACAGACUGUAUGACAAAUGAACUAAAAAUAAUAUUUUAAACUCCAGUUGAAUUAGCUGUUUGUUUACAUCUGCUAACCCCAUGCGGAAACAGUGUACAGUAUUUUAUAAAUAUGUUCAUUUAGUAACACUGAUAUGUUUGUUUCUAGAUAAAGUGAUGCUAGUGUGUAGGUGGUUAUAUACAUUCUCGAUAUUGCAUUAUUACUCACUAUUCUUUAACAAUAGCAAUGUAACUUAAAUGAAGUAAUCCCUCUCCAAAUCCAGUCUUAAUUUUGUGGCAACAAAAUGCAUGCACUGCUUUAUGCGUUUCUUUUGACUUUUUAAAAGGCACUUAACAUUUUACUAUUGCCUGCUGUAACACUUAACCCAGCUAGGAACUUGCUCACGUUGUUGGGCUUCUUACACUGUUUGGGAAUUAUGUUCGAUUUUUAAAAAUUAAAAACAAGAAAGUAACCAAGGUUUUUUUUUUUUAUCUUUUUUUAAAGCUCUGAACAAAUCAUAUGACAUAAAGUAUUAACUGCAGGGUGUAUAGCGAGGGGACCCAGAGAUGGCUGGCCAACACCAAUGUAGGUGUUGGUACAUCUGUGAUAUAGGAAAGACACAGUUCUGUUUCUUUAGGGCCACUGGGUACAAAUUGCUACACCAGACAUGAGAGUGAGAAGUCCAUUCAGACACUGCAGAAAUCCACAGAUCAUUAGAAUGAGUGGCUCCAUGGUGCAUGUGGCCCCCCUCCUACCUGGUAGCUUUCUACCUUAUGUGUGAACCUCACUUGGGAGAGAGAGAGGGAUGGGUGACUGGGUGUCCAAUCAAGAACUGGGUGACUCUAAAGAGCUUGUCUCUUAAAGAAAUCACCAUGUCAUUAUCAGAAGCCAUUCAACAUCUGGAAAAGAGAAGAGCUAGUUUGCACAGUCUUAUAAAUGACUGCUCUUCAAAUGGGGAGAGAAAACUUUUCCCUCCACCUGUGCUGGCCUAAGCUUUCUCUUCCCUUUACAUGUCAAACAUUCUCUUUCCCAGAAUGGAGUCAGUCAAAGCAGAGGUUUGUUCUGAUUUAAGGAAAACGAGAUUUUUUUUCUUUUCUUUUUUCAUUCAUUUGAGAAGGUCACUGUGUUACCUUUUCUCUGAUGAGUUCCUUGCCCUGAUCACUGCUAAUGAAAUCAAGACAUGACAAUGUCAAUAUGUCCAUCUAAGAAAGGAUUUCGGUGGCCAUGUGGUCCACAUAGCAGUAAGAGUGAGGUGAAUUUCCCCUCCCUAACUACUCUCGUCUGUAGAUCCCCUUAAGCCUCUAGGCCCUCACCUGUCAGCAUAAUGUUUAUGUGCUAGAAAGUGAAAGGGCACUUAUGGCCACAAGUCCAUGUGCCAUCUGCAGAGCAUCAGUACCGACCUUGACCUAGGCCUUCCCCAGGAAUAGGCGGGCUGCUGAGAGCACUGGGUCAUGGAGGAAGGUUGAGCUUCACGCCUGGAAUGCACAGCCUUCUUCAACCCCUUAACUUUCUUCCUUUCUCUUAGCCCAGCACAACAUGCUUUUUGCCAGAACAACAGACCCUUACUCCUAUUACCCCCAAUACCCCAUGGAGCCUGGCACAGUAGCCUGAAACAGUGGCUAUGUGGAACAAGUCCAGCUUUCACUUUGCCCACCCCUAGUCUUCCCACUAAACUAGGCUCCUCCCCGCCCUCCACCCCAUACCCCUAACUCAACUGGUGUUUGUGGCAGCCCCAUCCAAUUUUUUUGCUGUCUGAACCACAAAAGAGUCCCUCAUGUCUUCGGCCACGAAGACAUGUCUUUGGCUCCCCCACGUAUCAUCAGAACCAGCCAUCUGCAUCUAGAUCAUGGGGCUGCAAACCCAAAUACUUGCAGAGGCUGGAGCCAGGACCCAAAUGUGCCCGGUGGGAUGGGGAAAGACAACAGGAAGAAGUAGGGUUUGUAGGCAUGAAAGAACAUGUGUCCUACUACAAAAACAUUCACAUUCUGAUUUGUAAACACUCUGCUAGCCAAACAAAUGUGUCUGCCAACAGCAUUCAGUCCCAAUGGCAAUAGUUUGGGACCUCUGCUUUAGGGCCAACCAGGAUCAUGUUCUUGAUCCUGACUUAGUGUAUACAAGAAAUACACCGAGAACUGAGGUGGGGGCAGAGAGAAACUCACCCUAUUUAGGGUUAUUCCUGUUCUCCAGCAUCAUGGAUGCAUUACCAGCUGCAUCUUUCUGGACCCAAAUGCAGGAUCUUUGUGAGGGAGAUUCAGAAGAGUACCGUAGCUUUGAAUCAAGGCUUAUCUGCUUCUUGUCACUACAGCGUCUAACUUGAGUUUAUAUUGCUGUUCCUGCUGUGGAAAACAGUACACACGGUAUUCUGUACUCAUAGUCAUUUCCUAAUCUAGAACUUAGACUCUCAUUUGUAAAGCUUCUAACCAUAGUUUAUAAUGGGGAAAAUUAUUCAAAUAUCAUUUUUAAAUGAAUUCCUAUAAAUAUGACAAUUUUGAAAUUGGGUUUGUUAAAGAUAUAUACAUCUUUUCCUUCUUUGUGUAUGGAUAGACCGCGGUUGGCAUAUCUAUCGACAUUAUAAAUAUAUAUAAAUCCUUAGAGGAAUUGUUCUUUUUUAAAGGUCUAUUAUUGGAUUCACAAUGCACUUUGAGCUUGUUUGUUUAGAUACAUAAUUCGAAGCAGAAGUUGGCAGAUACCAUGGGA
rnacentral:lncRNA from 1 species